UUACUAAUUUCUGUUCGCUUGUGAACGCACUAACAAGCAGAGUGUGUAGAUAAAAACCUUCGCACAACAUCCAUGCGUAAUUAGUAAGAAGAAAGUAAUGAAGGAUAAUAUGCAACAGCCGACAUGUUAUCUGAAAAAUUUGCAAAGGUGUUAUUAUUCGAACGAUAUACGAUGUGACUAAAUUUUCGUUCGUUCGAGUUACUGGGUCGAGUGUUAAGCAAAGAGUUAAGAUGUUCAUACAUACCCCAUUGUUCAACAGUAAAUCCGUAUUCGCUACGAUGCAUCUAUACCACACCAGCCAUAGAGCAUUAUUUACAGCAAAAGAGGCGAACAGGUUCAUAUGAAGAGUGAUCCUUGCACACCUCAGGGAGCUAUUUCGAAGAAAUUCAUGGGAAGAGUAAUAAAAAAUCAGAAAAUAUAUCCUCUCAUAUAAAAUUUCUUUUCUA